rnacentral:lncRNA from 1 species
UAAGUAGGCCUUGGGUAACCGCGUAUAAAUAUUGUAUGCUGGGUUGAUCACAGACUACCAAGUAAAGACCACCAUGGUCGUCACAAUAAGACUACUGCGUACUACUGUCUCUGAUUAACUACUACACCAUUGACUUAAGUUUGGAUCACGGAUCUGCCGAACACCACCGACACUUAAUGGUUCAAGAACCUUUCAAAUCUCCAACUUUAUUGAUUGGUUGCAAAACACUUUGGAAUCCGUCAUCAAAUUGGAGCUUCUCCUGCCAGAUCCAUGACAAAAUAUACACAGAAUUUUGUAGUUGAGUUAGGUUAUUAAAAAAUUAAAGGCGUACCGGAGUUUCUUUCACCGUAAAGAAGCGAAAUUUCUUGACAAGUGUGCAAACAGCCAUUUUCAUUUCCUCCAUUGCAAAUCGCAUCCCCACACAAUUGCGUGGGCCUACUCCGAAAGCCAUAAAACUGUAAGGACUGCGUUUGGCUUUGUUUUCAGGGGUCCAUCUGUUUUCAAUUAAUGGCAAUAUUUUUCUUAAAGCUCAAUUUUAUAAGCUUUCCUAGAUUUCAGCUUUUACCUUUCGGGGUCGAAUAUUUCUGGAUUUGGAUAGUAUUCUUCCAUGUGAUGAAGGGCGUAGAUUGGUACGGUGAUAAUGACUCCUGCUUUAAUGUUGAUACGACCGUUAUCGUAAGAUAUAUCUUUUGUGCAUUGGCGUUCAGUUCUAAAAAUGAAAACGUUUAAACCAUGUAGAUAAGCCACACACAUGUCAUUUACAUUGGACGUACCGCACAGCUGCUGGGUAAAAGCGCAAAACUUCUAGGAUAACUUGUUCGAGAUACGGCAUAUCUUGGAUAAACUCGUGACAGAUAUCGUCCUUUAUUGAAUUUGUUUAGUAUUGUAUAAGAAUACCGCAAACAUUCCUUUCAAGUAACGCUUACGUGAUCUUCUAGUUUUGUAAUGAUGCUGUCGUACAACUUAUCCUGGAUAUCUGGAUUCCUGGCAAGCUCAAAACAGGUGCUUGUAAGGGUAGUCGCAGUCGUGUCGAAACCAGCCAGCAUAAACAGUGUCGACUGUUAAUGCGUUUGAGACGUUAAACGUUGACUAGUUGGACAAAGAUUUGCCUGAUGAUGUUAGUGUUUUUUACCUGGCCCAUUACAAUCUCUUCUAUUUCCUCUCGUGACCACAUCGCAACCUUUUUGCCACCAACAUCCUUCGUGAAUGCAGAGAUCGCCUCGUCAGCCACUUCAAUAAAAUCGUGAUAUUUCUAUGCGUAAAAGAAAAAUCAGCGAUGCAAUACAAAAACUUUCGUGACUUAAA